GACCAGGGAUGGGCUCAUUAGCGUCAACCAUGUGAAGAUGAUUAGAAAUUUGACUGGAGUAAAGCUUCUUCAUGGGUGCUUUGUGGCAUUACAAGAGCAAUGCUAUUGCCAUCACAUUCGGGAAUCGUUCCCGAAGAGUGAACUGACCAGAUGCAAGGUACAAUGAACUGAAAGAAGAAGGGCAUUCUCAUCAAAGGAGGACCAGGACGUCGAGUUAAGAUGGGUUGCCUCUGAUUCGCCUUGUUGCGAUUGGGAUGCCUCGCCUCCUUGACACCCUCCUUGAGACUCAACAUGAGGCAAGGUAAUUGCAGGAGUUGAUGAUAUGUAUCGUCCAGCACCGUUACUUGAGGCUUGAGUCUCAGUUUGAUCUUACAGUUCUACGGCUCAAAGGUUGAUGACUGCCAUGAGGCACUACGCAGUUAAAUCUUCGUCCAAGCUGACAACAAUCCUCUUGGUCUUAAAAAUUUUGUCGAGGCGGCAGGGAUCAAAGAAUAACAGAUCUGGGUCUUCGUCUUCCAAGAUUAGAAGGGGGAAACCAUCGCUCACUCUCCAUAUGCUUUAAAAGCAAAUCUCAAGUGCAUUGCCUAUACAAAAAUAAUUUUGUGGUCAUCUAUCUCACAAACUAUUCACAUCAAGUUCAUAUGGAAUGGCACUCAUGGAGGCAACCAAACCAAGCUAUCUAUUGUAUGCCUAACUAUGGCUUCGUAGUUUUAUCGCCUCCAUUGCCAUUGUUAGCUAAUUAGUUUUUCUAUUUGUAUGACUGUAGUGGAUCCUGCCUUGCUUCUGGCACGGGUUAACUUCGAUAGUCUCAUGCCCAUGUUUAACUUGAUGAUGCUACUCUUCUGGCACAUAUUGAAUGUUUCUUCUUACUCUUGAACCGGCCA